rnacentral:rRNA from 1 species
UACGUAGGUGACAAGCGUUGUCCGGAUUUACUGGGCGUAAAGAGCGCGCAGGCGGUCGUUCAAGUCGAGUGUGAAAUCCCCAGGCUCAACUUGGGAACUGCAUCCGAUACUGGAUGGCUUGAAUUCGGGAGAGGGAUGCAGAAUUCCAGGUGUAGCGGUGAAAUGCGUAGAUAUCUGGAGGAAUACCGGUGGCGAAGGCGGCAUCCUGGACCGACAUUGACGCUGAACGGCGAAAGCUAGGGGAGCCAAACGGG